GCUUGGCGCCGGCGGAGCCAGAGGCGAAGACGUCAUCGGCCUCGGAGCGGGAUCCGCUGGCUGCCUGCUGGCUCCGACCCCAGUCCGGCCGUCCGGCCUGCGCCUGGCGUGUCCCUGGGGAUCCGGCCUGCUCCGCUCUCCGGGCCCAGAGGCGAGGUGGCGGGAGCACUGCCAGCCAAGGGCUGACCUCAAGGAUCCAAGCGGCGGCGUGCCCGCAGCCUCUCCUCCCCCUUCCCUGCACCCGUCCCCGCGCUCCCCUCCGCCACCGCCCCGAUCGGAAAGGGGCUUCCUGCGCUUUUGCAUACACGUGUGCCCCUUUCGCUCAUUGCCUCGUCACCACCAGGCACGGACAGGCUCCCCGGGAGAAGCGAUUUACUUGACCAAUGUCACAAUGCUGGGGGUAGGGGUACAGAGAAGAACCUGAAAUGAGGGUUGGAGAAAAAUUAACAAGUCUGUCGGUGGAAAUGUCGUUCCUACUAAGGAUAACCGGGCAAGCAGUUCUUAUAUCAUCAUCCAUCGUGUGUUUCGGGGUCUGGCAUCAGAACCUGGGGAGAAGAUCACCACAAGUCACUGGUAAUAUUACCAACCCCCAUGUGAAGAGACAGAGGAACCGAGGCCAGAGAAGUUAACUAACCCAUCCAAAGGCACACAGCAAACAGAAAGCAGCACUGGCAGAUUUCAAAGCAGAGACCGCUGGCGACAUUAGCUCCCGUGUAACACACACCGUAGCCCAGAGGAGUGGUUCUCAGUCCCGGCUCCACACUGAAACCACCUGGGUGGUUCAAAAUCCUCACACCUUGGUCCCAUCCCCAGCACCUCCAAUGUAACCAGCCUAGGGUGGGGCCUGUGCAUGGGAUUUAAAAU